AACCAACAAAACACAGAGCACAGAUGAACAAAGGUGAUGUGGCACUAGGAGACUUUAUACCAGAUGCCCUCCCUGUUACUGCGUUUAGAGGAAGAAAAGCAGCACAUGAGACCAGAGCUUCUUCACUGGAAUAAAUCUUCACACUGUCCAGCUCCAAACUGUG